UACGGAGGAUGCGAGCGUUAUCCGGAUUUAUUGGGUUUAAAGGGUGCGUAGGCGGGCUGUUAAGUCAGCGGUAAAAGCCCGGGGCUCAACCCCGGCGAGCCGUUGAAACUGACGGUCUUGAGUGGGCGAGAAGUAUGCGGAAUGCGUGGUGUAGCGGUGAAAUGCAUAGAUAUCACGCAGAACCCCGAUUGCGAAGGCAGCAUACCGGCGCCCUACUGACGCUGAGGCACGAAAGUGCGGGUAUCGAACAGG
rnacentral:rRNA from 1 species